GACGAACGCUGGCGGCGUGCCUAAUACAUGCAAGUCGAACGCAGUGGGGACGGGUGAGUAACACGUGGGUAACCUCCCAUCAGAGGGGAUAACACUUGGAAACAGGUGCUAAACCGAUACUGAUGGAUGGACCCGCGGUGCAUUAGCUAGUUGGUGAGGUAACGGAUCACCAAGGCCACGAUGCAUAGCCGACCUAAGAGGCUUAUAUGCCACACGGGGACUGAGACACGGCCCAGCCUCCUACUGGAGGCAGCAGUAGCGUAUCGGCUGCAAUGGACGAAAGUCUGACCGAGCAACGCCACGUGAGUGAAGAAGGUUUUCGGUUCGUAAAGCUCUGUUGUCAGAGAAGCGGUAUCUAACCAGAAAGCCACGGCUAACCACUUGCCAGCAGCCGCGGUAAUAC
rnacentral:rRNA from 1 species